rnacentral:lncRNA from 1 species
GUUAAUUCUUCCAAUGCAUGAGCACAGAACAUCUUUCCAUUUCUUUGUGUCAUCUGUGAUUUCUUUCAAGAAUGUUUUAUAGUUUUCACCGUACAAGUCUUUCACCUCUUUGGUUAAAUUUAUUCCCAUGUGUGUUUUUGUUGUGAUUAUAAAUGGGAUUGUAUUCUUGAUUUCUCAUUCUGUGUUGUUAGUGUAUAGAAAUGGGACUGAUUUUUUUAUGUGGAUUUUGUACCCUGCAACUUUAUUGUAUUUUAAAAUUAUUUGUAAUAGUUCUUUGGUGGAUUCAUUAGGGCUUUCUAUGUAUGGAAUUGUGUGUUAUCUGCAAAUAGUGACAGUUUUACUUCUUCCUAUCCAAUUUGGAUCCCUUUUAUUUAUUUUUCUUGCCUAAUUGCUCUGGCUAGGGCUUCCAACCCUGUGUUGAAUAAGAGUGGCAAGAGUGGGCAUCCUUGUCUUGUUCCUGCUCUUAGAGGAACAUCAUUCAGUUUUUCAUUGUUGAGUAUGAAGUUGGCUGUGGGUUUGUCAUAUAUGGCCUUUAUUAUGCUGAGGAACGUUCCUUCCAUACCCAUUUUAUUGAGAGGUUUUAUCAUAAAUGGAGGUUCAAUCUUGUGAAAUGCUCUUUCUGCAUCUAUUGAGAUGAUCAUGUGAUUUUUAUUCUUCAUUUUGAAUGUGGUGUGUCACAUUGAUUUUUGGAUGUUGAAUCUCCCUGUGUCCCUGGAAUAAAUCCCACUUGAUUGUAGUACAUGAUCCUUUUAGUGUAUUGCUUUAUUUAAUUUUUUAAUAUUUUGUCGAAGAUUUUUGCAUCUGAGUUCAUCACUGUUCAGUGUUUUAAGGAGAUACAAAUCAUAAGAAAAGAAUCUUGCAUAUUUAUUCAUGUAGUUACCAGUUCCACUGUUCUUCAUUCCUUUGUGUAAGCCCAUGUUUUCAUCUAUUAUCCUUUUUCUUCUGCUUGAAGAAAAGGCCUUCUUCUUCUGCUUUUGUUGUUUAUCAUUUCUUGUGAGGCUACUGCUGAUGAAUUCUUUCACUUUUGUAUGAUUGAAAAAUUAUUUAUUUCACCUUCAUAUUUGAAAGAUACUUUUGCUGGAUGUAGAAUUAUAGAUUGACAGGUUUUUUUUUAUUUUAGUACUUAAACAUGUUGCUCCACUGUUUUCUCAUUUGCAAUGUUUCCAGCGAAAAAUAUGCUGUCACCAUGAUAUUUGUUCCUCUGUACUUAAUGUGUCUUCCUCCCGCACUCCUGCCCUAUUUAAGAUUUCCUCUUUAUCACUGAUUUUGGGCAAUUUGACAAUGAUGUGCUAUGGUAUAGUUUUCUUCAUAUGUUUUAUGUGCUUGGAGUUAGUUGAAAUUGUUGGAUCUAUAGGUAUAUAGUUUUCAUUAUUUGGUAAAUUUCUAUUCAUUGUUUCUUCACAUAUUUUUUUUUCUGUUCCCAUUGCGGCUGGCCCCCCCGCCCCCAACACUGGGGGUGAAGUAAGCAAUGGCUGGGGUAGAAAUUUGCCAUUACUUUGUUUGGCCCUUUAGUUCUGACCUAGGACCUCACCUAUACUUUCUUGAAUAAAAAAUUAUUUUUUAAAUGACAGAUCAUUUACCAAUAUUACCAACUUCCAGUGCUGUUGCGACUUCCUUUCUUAUUCUGAGAUUUCUUGUGCAUUUUGGUAGGUAGAUCAGAGUAGAUAAAUUAAGUGCUGCUAUCUGACUUACAUUUUAACUUUUUGGUCUUAACUUAGAAGUAAAUUUUUGUAAUAUUUCCUGUGCUCUGAUAUUGUUUCAUUAAAACUUAGGACUAUCCCAGUUGUUACUUUCGAUCCUUAAUUCAAAUAGGAGUUAUUUGAAUUAAGCUAAAUGUGGAGCUAAAUUUAGAAGGAUAGAGUAGAGAAAGUUGGAAUAGAUCUGCUAUCCAUUGGAUUCUAAUGGUUUGCUUUUCUCUACUUUAAAAUACGUGAUUUAAACCCCAUAAAUAUCUGUGCCUUCCAAGUUGCAUGAUAAAAUUGAACUAAGUCCAGUAAACAUUAUCCUAUAAGAUACAAUAUGAAUGGAGUAUCAAUUAUUUAGAAGUGGGAAUCACUAAUAUGUAUAUGAUGAUUUCUCAGUAACACUAACAAUUUUAGAACUGUUUUCACAUUAGAUUAAAAUAGUGAUUUAGCUGCUUAGUAAAUGAUUAAAUGCAGAGAGUGUUAUGUAAUCUGUUCACUAGGAGUUGGUAAAUAUUGCCAAGUACUAGUGAUUCAUUUCCUUAAGAAAAGGAGGGAGUAUGAGACCGUAAGUUUCAGUUAAGGAGUUCCUGUCAGGAUUGGACUUGGCACUGGUGCAGAGGCAGCAGAGUGAGGUGGGAAGAACAUAGGCAGCUCUGCAGGUCUAGAUUUGGAUUCUAGUAGUUGUGCAAUUGUGAACAACUUCACCUCUCUGAAAGCUGAGCUUUCCUUCUGUAAAAUUCUCUAAUUUAUUUUCUAGAAUUAUCCUUAUUAUAAAUAAAUAGUCACAUAUAUACGCAGUGCCUGCCUAUGUUAUUGCCUAUGGGGGUUGAACUGGAAUGUGUUUGGACAUUGCUUUCUGUUGUGUCUAAGAUGGCAUUUUUUCUCAAGAAAACAAUACUCUGUAGGGAAGGACUGGGAAAAAAUUAGUAUCAUCUUUGUUGCAGGAUUUUUGAGGGGAAGAUGAGGCAGCCUUUUAUUAUGGUUAAUUUUAAAAAUUCCUAUUAUUUGCUUCAGUUAUGAAGAAAUCCAGAGGGAAAACCUAGAAACAAAAUGCCUAACCAUUAGGUUUGUACAAACGUAGUAUGGAAACUGAGAACAACUUGUUUUGUUGUUAAACCCAUCUUAAACUAGAGAACUCAGGGUUUUCUCAAAUAGUAUCAGAAUGAGGAAGGGGAUUGAUGUUCUUUUUUGGGUUCAAUGGCUGUAUCUUUUAUUUAACAUUUAGAAAGUCAGUGGACCCAGGUUAGAUAACUUGUGUUCAGGAAUUAAUAGAAGAUAGUGGAAAUAAUCUGAAAUCAAGAUAUAGAAGAACCAGUUUCAAAUACAUUUUUGUUUUUUAGCAAAACAACAACAAAACUUAACAACAAAAGCUAGGUGAUAGUGGCCACAGCCUGGGAUAGGGGCUGCAAGAAGGCGGAAUCAGAAAAAUAUAGUGGUUUGAAGUCUUGUCAAGGUAAUAAAUAAGGAAUCUCUACUUUCAGAGGAGACCCAUAAUCUCAUGUUUUAUUAUUGGUAUUGUGUCGCUCCCAAAGACUGUAAUUGUUGCUUUGGUACUAAAAUCACAUAGUCUGUAUAGUGGUUGACACUAUUGUGCGUGCUAAUUUCUUGUGCAUAAUAGGCAUUUAAUUCUUUCUUUUAAUGACUAUUCAUUGGAUACUUAUUAUGAGUUAGGGACUGAAGAUAUAGCAGUAUAUAGACAGACAAAAAUCCCUGCCCUCAUGGAGCUUAUAUUAUAGUAAGGGAAGGCAGACAAUAAACAAAUUUUUUGUCCUUGUAUAUUCUAUUUUUAUCCUUGUAUAUUUGUCCAUCAAUAGAUGAAUGGUUAAAGAAGAUGUGGUGUAUACACACACACACACACAAACACGGCCAUGUUACUCAGCCAUAAAAAAAAUGAGAUUCUGCCAUUUGUGACAACAUGGAUGGACUUAGAGGGUAUUAUGCUAAAUGAAAGAAAUAAGACAGAGAAAUACAAAUAUCAUAUGAUUUCACUUAUGUGUGGAAUCUAAAAAAUGAAACAAGUGAACAAACAAAACAGAAACAAACUCAUAGAUUCUAAGAAAAAACUAGUGGUCCCCAGAGGGGAGGAAGUGAGGUGAUGGGUGAAUGGGUGAAGGGGAUUAAGAGAUGCAAACUUCCAGUUAUAAAAUAAAUAAAUCAUGGGAAUGUAAUGUACAGCAUCGGGAAUAUAGUCAAUAAUAUUAUAAUAACCUUGUAUUGUGACAGAUGGUUACUAGACUUGUCAUGGUGAUUAUUUCAUUUUGUAAUGUAUAUAAAUGUUGAAUUACUAUGUUGUACACUUGAAACUAAUAUGAUAUUGUAUAUCAGCUAUACUCCAAUAAAAGAUUUAAAAAAUAAGCAAAUUAAGAAAAUAUUUACUAUGUUGGAAGAUAAUAAAUGAUAUAGGGGAAAAUAAAGCAGGAAAGAGGGAUAGGAUAUGGGUGUGUGGAGGGUGUUCCUUGAAAAGGUCGUAUUUGAUCAGAUGCCUGGAGGAGGGCUGUGAGUUAGUCAUGGUGAGUGUCUAGAGGAGGAGCAGUCUUGCAGAUAGAGGAACCAGCAAGUGUAAAGGCUUUGUAUGGGCUUUUUAGUGGCGUCUUCAAUUUGGAGAACAGCAAGGAAGCCAGCAUUCCUGGAGCAGAGUUAGUGAGGGGAUGAGAGGAGAUGUCAGAGAUCAGGGCGGGGCCAGAUCAUAAAGGCCUUAUAAGCCAUUGUUACUUGGAGUGAAAUGGGAAGCUAAUGCAGGGCUUUGAGAGAGGACUCAUAUGAUCUAACAUAUUUUUAAAGAUUUAGUGUCGCUUCUAUGUUGAGAGUAAAAUGUAAGGGGGCUAGAGAGGAAGCACAAAGACCAAUAAUUCAUUAAAUAGAACUAAGUUAGUGGGUUGCUCACUUGCUUCCUUACAUGUGUUGUGCCAGGGAGAAAAUUAGUAGUGAAUACCUAUUAAACCUCUGAGAUUGGAAGGGUUGGCUUCCUUGAGGGAAAUGCAGUUUCCUUUGGCAGAUAAGGAAAUAUUCCUAGGUGAUGCAGAGGCAUCCUUUCUCCUAUUAGUGGUGACUUGGUGACAGGAAAGUGAACUUGCUGGCUCUGGCCCACCUGGAUGUUUCAGAUCUAUUUCUGGAAUGCAGGGUUUAUGAGGUAUAUGUGGAGCUUCUUCCUUUUAUUCCAGCUUAAAAGUUCCCUAAUUGGGUUGAGUUCAGAUUCUGUGUCAUGGUUCUGUUUUGCUGGGAGAAGCUAAUAAAGAAGGAAACCAUGUGUUCUUAGGCGUAGGACAAAUGGAGUAUAGUAAUUAGGCAGGAUUGUCCCUCCACUGGACAAAAGCCUUAAACAGCUCAGCAAACACCAAACAAAAACCUGACACAUGCAUACAGAUGUAGAUACCUGAUGAAAUCUUAGAAAAUGCGUUCACAUUUUUUCUCUGGCAGUGAUAUUCUUUUCACAAAGCAUUCCAUACUGCAAUAGCUGUAUCAUUAGCCUGAUAAUCUCAAGUUUAUUCUCUCUUACCUUUUACAUUGUUUGCUCUAUAGCAUUGGUUUAGAGCAGAAAGCUGAGCUUAAAGAGAUUGGUCUAAGAAAUUGCAGGUUAGGUAAGACAGGAGAAUAAAGGAAUGCCUUUGGAAAAGAAAUGUAGUUAAAUCCAAAUAGAGGGUCUUUGGAUAAAUGGGUGUUUGUUGAGUAGAUGGUAACUAAUUUCCAUGUGUCCCACCCUGUGCUAGGUAUGAGGGGAGUCGACAUAGUGCCUGCUCCAGAGGUGUGAAUAUUUGUUAGGAGAGAUGAUUACAUGGACAUAUGACACAGUUAAUGCUAUCAGAAACAAGUUGUGAGAUUCAGAUUUUUAAAGAUAGUGGGAGUUGAGAGGAUGAGAAGAUGCUGGGAUAUAAGGCAGGGAGGCUCUGUCCAUAUUGUUAUCUUUUACUUGGGAUGAAAUAUAUUUUAAUAAAGGAAAAUUUUGGAUUUUUGUGCCUUUUUGCAAAUGAAAAACUGUUGAUAAAAUAAUAUAUAAUAAAGUGGAAAGACAUCAUCGUGAAUAAAACUGUGACUUUUAGUUACAUAAUAUUUGAGAUAUUUCCACCUACCUUUUAAGAAAAAUGUUAAUAAUAAACAAUAAUCUAUAGUUAUUUUAUAGAUAGUGUUGAGGACCAGGAAUAGUCCUAAAUGGUUAAAAGAUAAUUGGCCAUAAUAUUGACAACUUUCUGUCCAACCUAUGGGUGGCAUGAGCAGGAAGAUUGUUAAUGGGACUUUUCCAUAGUAAUUUGCCAUAUACCUUUACAGUGAAAACCAGAGAUAAAUAAUAAAAACAAAACAAUUCAAAAUAUCCAUAACUUCAUGGCUUAUAAUACUAACUGCUAAUAUCUGAUGAGCCCAUUAGAGCAUUUUGUUUCAUAAUAUUCUGCACAUAUAAUUUUGUUUUCUAUUUCUCAAUCGCAUAGUUCAUAUAUAUCAGGGUGUUAUUUUGCUGUCUCAAUAUGCUAUAACUUCUUUAAUCAUUCUGUGCUAAUGAGAAUUUGAUUGGUGUAUCAUGUAGCAUAACACUAGUUGUUAUAAUAAAUCACAAAAUUUCAGUGAGUUAACCCAGUGAAAUUUUAUUUCUUGCUCAUGUAAAGGCACAAUGCAAGUGAUCAUAGUUUCCAGGUGGCUUUCUUCCAUCUGGUAAUUCAGGGACCUGGGCUCUUUCCAUCAGAGGCCAUACCAUCCUCUAAGGUCUGAAAGUCCUCUGCAUUUAGUCAGCAGAUAGGGAAAGAAAGAGUGAAGGAUAGAUAGUUCCUGCAUAGGCAGCCACUUCUCAGCUGCAACACACUUCUGUGGAGAAAAAGCACUCAUUUUUGGUGAACAAGUAGCUGAUCUUGCUAUAUAUGAUUUCUAAUUUUUGUCAGUUGCCAAUAGCAGUACUUUUAAAUAGCUUUGAACAAAUAGUUUUCUUUUCUAUUUGAGAUUAAUUUACUUGGGAUAUAUUUCUUGAAGUGAGUGUACUGGAUGUAAGUUUUAAUUGUAAAAUAGCAGUGAACUAUGUUUUUAAAAAUAAAUACAUUAAAAUUCUAAUUCAUAUACCUGUAAAGUUAUUGCAUGUCAGCCACCUCCAAUUCAUUAUUAUUCAGGCUUGACUGAAGAAUAUUUUUGCUCUCUUGCAUCCAGGAUAAUGAAUGCCGUGAGAACAACAAGCAUAUUUAUAUUGUCAUAUUUAACAAAAGAAAACUCUGUUGCUAUUAUAUUUUGUUCAACACAAAGCAUGAGUUAACUAACAAAACAUAUAUGUACUGUUAGACUAAAUUAUUUAAAAAAUAUAUGUGAUUUGAAAAGAAAAUUAGAACAUAUGUCUAAUAGUCUCCAUAUUCUUUUUGUUUAUAGACAGGAAAAUAAAGAUGAUUUCAAACUUAAUUUAGAAUGAAUCUGCUCCAAAGCAGGAAAUGUUCUUUCUGCAUACACGUUAGUCUGCGGGUUCCUGAGGGCCGUCACAAGGCAAUCAAGAAUCCAUCAUGGCUGUUUUCUGCACGACUUGACAUGGUGUGUGAUGCAGUUGAGCCCUUCCAGGCUUCUCUCCCUCUGCCCAGGCUGCUGCCCCUCUGCUGAGAUAGCCUGAUCUGGGACUACCGCUUCAUGUAGGUCAUUGUCUGUGCCUUCCUUAUACUUCCUCAUUUUUUACCCCUCCAAUGACACUUUUACAAACUGUACUAUUUCUUUGCUUCUUAAAUGUUAUAGCAUUCUUCUUUAAGUUACAGCAUCUUUUUGUAUGUAUUAUGUGGUGGAACUUUGUUUUGUGCACUCGUUCUUUUCUUUUUAAAUUGAGGUAACAUUGGUUUAUAAUGUUAUAUAAAUUUCAGGUGUACACCAUUAUAUUUCAGUUUCUGUUUAGACUACGUUGUCUUCACCACCCAAAAUCUAAUUACCAUCCAUCGCUGUACACAUGUGCCCUUUUAUUCCUUUUGCCCUCACCCUCCCCUCCUUCCCCUCUGAUAACCACCAAUCUAUUCUCUAUAUUUUUGUGUUUGUUGUUGUUUUUAUCUUCCACAUAUGAGUGAAAUCAUAUGGUAUUUGGCUUUCCCUGUCUCACUUACUUCACUUAGCAUAAUACCCUCAAGUUUCAUCCAUGUUGUUACAAAUGGCAAAAUUUCAUCUUUUUUAUGGCCGAGUGGUAUUCCACUAUAUAUCUAUAUCUAUCUAUCUACACACACACACACACACACAGACACACACACACACAUCUUCUUUAUCUCUUUCUCAGUUGAUGGACAUUUAGGUUGUUUCCAAAUCUUGGCUAUUGUGAAUAAUGCUACAGUGAACAUAGGGGUGCAUAUAUUGAAUUAGUGUUUUUCGUGUUCUUUGGAUAAAUACCCAGAAGUGGAAUACCUGGCUCAUAUGGUAGUUCUGUUCUUAAUUUUUUGAGGAAUCUCCAUAGGAUUUUCCAUAAUGGCUGCACUAGUUUACAUUCCCACCAGUAAUGUAUGGGGGUUCCUUUUCUUCACAUCUUCUCUGACACUUGUGAUUUCUUGUCUUUUUAAAAAUAGCCAUUCUAACAGGCAUGAGGUGAUAUCUCAUUGUAGUUUUGAUUUUCAUUUCCUUAAUAAUUAGUAGGGAAUAAUGUCUUUUCAUGUGCCUGUUGACCAUCUGUAUAUCUUCUUUGGAAAAUAUGUGUUCAGGUUCUCUGCCCAAUUUGUUUUUUGGAGUGAGGAAGAUUGGCCCUGAACCAACAUCUGUUGCCAGUGGUCCUCUUUUUGCUUGAGGAAGAUUGCUGCUGAGCUAACAUCUGAACCAAUCUUCUUCUAUUUUGUGUGGGAUGCCACCACAGGCUGGCUCAACAAGCGGUGGUAGGUCCACGCCCACGAUCCGAACCCAGAAACCCCGGGCUGCUGAAGCAGAACAUGUGAACUCAACCACUAUGCCACCAGGCCAGCCCCAUCUCUGCUCAUUUUUUGAUUGAGUUGUUUGUUUCUUUGCUGUUGACUUGUAUGAGUUCUUUAUAUAUUUUGGAUAUUAACCCCUUAUCAAAUAUAUGAUUUGUAAGUGUCUUCUCCCAAUUGUUAGGUUGUCUUUUCAUUUUGCUGAUGGUUUCCUUUGCCGUGCAGAAGCUUUUUAGUUUGUAGUCCCAUUUGUUUAUAUUUUCUUUUGUUUCCCUUGCCUGGGGAGACACAAUUUCAAAAAGAUACUGCCAAGACAGAUGUCAAAGAGCCCACUGCCUCUGUUUUCUUCUAGGAGUUUUAUGGCUUCAGGUCUUACAUUCAAGUCUUUCAUCCAUCUUAAGUUAAUUUUUGGGCGUGGUGUGAGAUAAGUCUACUUUCAUUUUUUUGCAUGUGGCUGUCUAGUUUUCCCAGCACCCUUUAUUGAAGAGACUUUCCUUUCUCCAUUGUAUAUUCUUGGCUCCCUUGUUGAAAGUUAGCUGUGUGGGUUUAUUUCUGGGCCCUCAAUUCUGUUCUGUUGAUCUGUGUGUCUGUUUUUCUGCCAGUACCGUGCUGUUUUGAUUAUUAUAGCUAUGAAGUAUAUUUUGAAAUGAGGGAGUGUGAUACCUCCAGCUUUGUUCUUUUUUCCCAGGAUUAGUUUGCCUAUUUGGGGUCUUUUUUUUGUUCCAUAUAAAUUUUAGGAUUCUUUGUUUUAUUUCUGUGAAAAAUGUUGUUGGGACUUUGAUGGGGAUUGCAUUGACUCCUUAGAUUGCUUUAUGAUGUAUGGACAAUUUAAUUAUGUUAAUUCUUCUAAUCCAUGAGCAUGGAAUAUCUUUCCAUUUCUUUGUGUCUUCUUCAGUUUCUUUCAACAGUGUUUUAUAGUUUUCAGUGUAUAGGUCUUUCAACUCUUUGGUUAAAUUUAUUCCUAGAUUUUUUAUUCUUUUUGUUGUGAUUAUAAGUGAAAUUAUAUUCUUGAUUUCUCUUUCUUAUUUGUUAUAUGUGUAGAGAAACACAACUGAUUUUUGUAUGUUGAUUUUGUACCCUGCAACUUUAUAUAUUCUUUUAUUACUUCUAAUAGUAUUUUGGUGAGUUCUAUAGGGUUUUCUGUAUAUCAAGUUAUGUCAUCUGCAAAUAGUGACAGUUUUACUUCUUCCUUUCCAAUUUGGAUCCCUUUUCUUUCUUUUUCUUGCUUAAAUUGCUCUGGCUAGGACUUCCAAUACUGUGUUAAAUAAGAGUAGACUUCCUUGUUUUGUUCCUGUUCUUAGAGCAAUAGCUUUCAGUUUUUCACCAUUGAGUAUGAUGUUGAUUGUGGGUUUCUCAUAUAUGGCUUUUAUUGUGUUGAGGUACUUUCCCUCCAUAUCCAUUUUAUCCAGAGUUUUUGUCAUAAAUAGAUGCUCUUUCUCAUCCAGUGCUUUCUCUGCAUCUAUUGUGAUGAUCAUAUGAUUUUUAUUUUUCAUUUUAUUAAUGUGGUGUAUCAUAUUAAUUGAUUUGCAGAUGUUGAAACAUCCUUGCAUCCCUGGAAUAAAUCCCACUUGAUCAUAGUGUAUGAUCCUUUUAAUGUAAUAUUGUAUUCAAUUUGCUGAUAUUUUGUUGAGGAAUUUUUCAUCUAUGUUCAUUAGUGAUAUUGGCCUGUAAGUUUCUUUUUUUGUGUUGUCCUUGUCUGGUUUGGUAUCAGGAUAAUUUUGACCUCAUAGAAUGAGUUAUGAAGUGUCCCCUCCUCGUUAAUUUUUUGGAAGAGUUUGAGAAGGGUAGAUAUUAAAUCUUCUUUGAAUGUUGAGCAGAAUUCACUGGGGAAGCCAUCUUGUCUUGGACUUUUGUUUUGGGGAAGUUUUUGAUUACUGUUUUGAUCUCCUUACUAGUGAUCAGUCUAUUUAGAUUCUCUAUCUCUUCUUGAUUCAGUUUUAGAAGGUUGUAUAAUUCUAAGAAUUUAUCCAGAUUCUCUAUCUCUUCUUGAUUCAGUUUUAGAAGGUUGUAUAAUUCUAAGAAUUUAUCCAAUCUUGCUAAAUUAUCCAAUUUGUUGCCAUGUAGUUUUUCAUAGUAUUCUCUUAUAAUUCUUUGUGUUUCUGUGGUAUCCUUUGUAAUUUAUCCUCUUCGUUUAUGAUUUUAUUUAUUUGAGCCUUUUCUCUUUUUUGUUUGGUGAGUCUGGCUAAAGGUUGUCAAUUUUGUUUAUCUUUUCAAAGAACCAGCUCGUAGUUUCAUUGAUAUUUUCUAUUGUCUUUUUAGUCUCUAUUUCAUUAUUUCUGCUCUGAUUUUUGUUAUUUCCUUCCUUCUAUUGAUUGUAGGCUUCAUUUGUUCUUCUUUUUCUAGUUCCUCUAUGUGUAUUGUUAGAUCGUUUAUUUGCAGUUUUUCUUGUUUCUUGAAGUACGUCUUUAUUGCUCUAUACUGCCCUCUUACUACCCCUUUUGCUGUAUCCUAUAGAUUUUGGUAUGUCAUAUUUUCAUUUUUAUUUGUCUCAGGUAUUCUUUUACUUCUAUUUUUAUUUCUUUGUUGACCCAGUAGUUAUUCAGUAGUAUUUUGUUUAGUCUCCACAUAUUUGUGACUUUUCCAGUUUUGUUCUUGUAGUUGAUUUCUAGUUUCAUACCCUUGUGGUCAGAAAAGAUGCUUGAUAUAAUUUCAGUCUUCUUAAAUUUAUUGAUACUUAUUUGUUUCCCAGUGUAUGGUCUGUCUUUGAGAAUGUUCCAUCUGCACUUGAGAAAAAUGUGUAUUCUGUUGUUUUUGGAUGAAAUGUUCUAUAUAUAUCUAUUAAGUUCAUCUGGUCUAAGUUGUCAUUUAAGGCCAAUGUUUCCUUAUCGAUCUUCUGCCUGGAUGAUUUACUAUUAUUAUGUUACUGUCAAUUUCUCCUUUUAUGUCUGUUAAUAUUUGCUUUAUGUGUUUAGGUAUUCUUAUGUUGGGCACAUAGACAUUUUCAAGUGUUAUAUCCUCUUGUUGGCUUGUUCUCUUUAUCAUUAUGUUAUGCCUUUCUUUGUCUCUUGUUACAGUUUUUGUUUUAAAGUCUAUUUUUUCUGAUAUCAGUCUUGUUACCCAGCUUUCUUUUUAUUUUUAUUUGCAUGGGAUAUCUUUUUUUUAUCCUUUCACUUUCAGUUUGUGAGUGUCUUUAGGUCUGAAGUGUGUCUCUUGUAUACGGGAUUAUAUAUCGGUUUUGUAUUUUUAUCCUUUCAGCUACCCUGUGUCUUUUGAUUGGAGCUUUUAGUCCAUUUACAGUUAAAAUAACUAUUGAUAAGUAUGUACUUAUUGCCAUUUUGUUACUUUUUUUCUGGAUUUUUUUGUGGUUCUUCUUUUGUUCCCUUCCCUUGUAAUUUAAUGGCUUUCUUUAGUGUUAUGUUUGGGUUCGUUUCUCUUUGUUUUUUGAGUAUUUAUCAUAGUUUUUUGGUUGGUGAUUACUAUGAAGUUCAUGUAUAAUAACCUAUGUAAAUAGCAAUCUGUAUUAAGUUGAUGUUCUCUUAAGUUUGCCCUCUUCCUAAAAGUCCUACCCUUUUAUUCCCCUUUCUACAUUUCGAUAUCAUGUUUUACCUCUUUUAUUUUUGUGUAUCCCUUAACCUCUUAUCAUAGAUAUACGUGAUUUUAGUACUUUUGUCUUUUGACUUUCAUACUGGCCUUAUAUGUCGUUGAUGUACUACCUUUACUGUAUAUUUGCCUUUACCAGUAAUAUUUUUUCUUUGGUAAUUUUCUUAUUCCUAUGUAUGGCCUUUUCUUUCCCACUUAAAUAAGUUCCUUUAACAUUUCUGGUAAGUCCAGUUUAAUGGUAAUGAACUCCUCUAGUUUUUGCUUGUUUGGAAAACUCUUUAUCUUUCCUUCUAUUCUGAAUGUUAACCUUGCCAGGUAGAGUAUUUUUGGUUGUCGGUUUUUUUACUUUCAGCACUUUGUGUAUAUCAUGCCACUCGCUUUUAACCUGUAAGGUUUUUGUUGAGAAGUCAGCUAAUAGCCUUAUGAGGUUUCAUUUGUAUAUGACUUGUUGCUUUUCUCUUGAAGCUUUUAGAAUUCUCUUUUUAUUUAAUUCUUGACAUUUCACUUGUAAUGUGUCUUGGUGUGAGCCACUUUGGGUUCUUGUUUGGUACCCUCUGAGCUUCCUGUACUUGGAUGUCUGUUUCCUUCUCAGGUUAGGGAAGUUUUCAGCUAUUAUUUAUUUUUUUUGAAAUAAGUUAUCUGCCCUUUUUUUCUCUCUCUUCUCCUUCUGGGCUACCUAUGAUGUGGAUGUUAGUACACUUGAUGUUGUCCUAGAGGUCACUUAGACUGUCCUUGUCCUUUUUAAUUCUUUUUUCUGUUCAACUUGGAUGAUUUCCUCUACUCUUUCAUCCAGAUUGCUAGUCUGUUCUUCUGUGUCAUCUAUUCUGCUCGAGUCCCUCUAGUGAACUUUUCAUUUCAGUUAUUGUAUUCUUCAGCUCUGGUUGGUUUGUUUUAUAUUUUCCAGUUCUUUGUUGAAGUUGUCACUGCAUUCAUUUAUUCUUCUCCCCAAAUUGGUGAACAUCCUUAUGAUUCUUAGUUUAUACUCUUUAUCGGGUAGAUUGUUUACCUGUUUCAUUUAAUUCUUUUUCUGAGGAGUUGUCCUAUUCCCUUAUUUGGAACAUACUCCUUUGUAUCCUCAUUUUACCUACUUCUUUGUGCUUAUUUCUGUGUAUUAAGUAGAUCAGUUUUGUCUCCCAAGCUUGGAAAUGUGAGCUCACUGGUGAGCAGAGCCAGUCCCUGGGCUGGGCUGCCUGCUUCCUGGCCACACUUGAUAACCUUGGGUGCUCUAGUUGGUGGGGCAGACCCCUGUGCUAAUAGGCUAGAGAGAGGAUUCUAAUGGUACCUGCCAUCAUUGUAAGAGAUGACUUAUGGGGCCCAGCAGUAUAACCUGCUCUUAUCACCCUUGCCAAAUGCUCCAGGAAUGUCCCCUGUGGGCUCUGUGUGCCCUUUUGUUGUGGCAGAGUUGCUGUUGCUAUGGGUUCAUGGGGAAACCUAGGCUGGUGCCUGGGCCAGCUGGUUGUAAGGCUUAUUUACUUGUGGCUGCUACAGGCAUUUUAUUAGGUGGGGCAAGCCCCCAGCAUGGCUGGCUGUGAGGUCUAACAGCACAGAACUAUUGCAGUUUUGUUGGUAAGUGAGCCAGUCCCCUAGUGUGGCUGGUUGCUAGGCUUGGGGCACACAAUUGCUGCAGGCCUCUGGUGUGGCUGCCUGCUGGGCUCAGCUGCCUCUGCAUUGGUGGGUGGGGUAGGUUUCAGGUGAGGUUAGCUGCGUGGUGUGUGGCUGUUGUCAGCUUGCUUUUGGGCUUUUGGGUGGGGCAGGCCUUUGGCAAGAUCUGGCUGUGCUGCCUUGUGGUGCACAGCUGCCUUGAGAGCACAGAUGGGUGGGGCAGUCCCAGGAAUAGCAGCACUCAAUCGUUUCAGGCACUGGAAGGUGGGGCAGAUCCCCUGUGUGGCUGUUUGCAAUGGCCAUCUGCAUACUACAGCUGGGUUCUUUCAAAAAUCUGAUUAUGCCCAUCCCUGCUUGAAAAUUCUGCAACCCCUUCACACUGCUUUCAAGUCCAAACUUCUUAAUAUAAUUUGUAAGGUCCUCAGUGUCUGGCCUCCUGUCUUACCCUGUUGCCUUCAUCUCUUCCCUCUUCCUCCAAACCAGUUUGAUGACCUCGUGACACAGUCUGGGUUAGGAUCCCUUCUUUGUGUCCUGCUUUCCUUUUUGAUAUCGUUUGUUACAAGGACUUGUGAUUGUUUAUGUGGCUGCAUUCCCCCACCAGACUGUAAGAUGCCCUAGCUCAGAGACUCUCCCUUCUUCACUACCUUCUUGCCAACCAAGCACAGUGUGUGGCACAUUGUACACGGUCCACAAGCAGUUAGUGAAGCUCCUUUUGGUAGGCCAGAGCCCAAUACCUUGUAAAAUCAAGCAUAUAGUCAUUAGCUUCUAUUUGGAAGCUGUAAUGGAAAUAUCAGAAGAUUUAAUCAUGUAGAAAACAAGAAAAACUAGUGCUAGCAGUAAUUGCCUCCUGUUUCUUAUAUUCCAUUAGUGAAAUAUAGGUUGCAUGAUAAAAGUAGUUAUUAUAUCACGUAAAUUGCAACAUCUGUCUCACUUUAGCCAUCCUUCAGUUGAAAUUUCUUGCAGAUCAGUCUGUAUUUUGUAUUAAAGAGAAAACAAAAAAUUAAGAACAAGUGACUUAUUUAAACUGAAGAGACUGAUUUCAAAGAAAUGAUGUUAUAAAUUUAGCAAGAAGUAAAACAUCAGAUUACCUAUCAAUUUACCUUAACAGAUUAAAAUAUGCCCAGGAUGUGACUUCUCAAUAUAAAGGUCAAGUAUCAUAGGAAUAGUUUGCAGAGUGUUCAUGAGAAUCUGACCAGAAAUUAAAACCACCUUUUUCAAAUAGAAAAAUGCAAACUGCUGCUGUGGGGCAGGGGAUGAGAGCCACUGUCCAUGUACAAGUGAGGUGAGAAUCUGUUUACGGAGAGUGGAAGAAUAUAAUGCAAAGGUUAGUGAUCUUCUUUGUCUCCAGGGAGAAACCUUGUAAAUGAAUGGUGCCUCAGUUUUUCUUUAUAUGUCUCAGGUCUGUUGCAAGUGUAAGUGAAGGACAGUUGGGAAGAAGGCUCAGAAUAUUAAUUAAUCUAGAAUGCAGAUUAAGAAAACCCAGGAAAAUAUAAUUUCAGUUUCAAACAUACCUGGAUUGGGGAAUAGUUGUAAGAUCUGUUGCAACAUAAUGCUUUUAAAAUAAUGAUAAGGGUAUUUGAAUUCAGUUUCCACUUAAAUGUAAAGAACUUCCCUUUGGGUUAAAGUGAUGUAGGUUGCAUUGAAAGUAAAAAGAGGUUGAAAAGUCUUGUGUGAUGCAACAGUUAAAUCCUAGAGCCCUUGCUUGUAUAGUAAGUGCAUGCUUGUAUAGUAAGCCCUUGCUUGUAUAGUAAUUAUAAAUAAUACCCUGUCCUGAGUCACAUAAAGCUGAAGAAUGUAGAAUAGAGGAGGAAAUGAGAUGAAGUAUGAAAAGUUAUCUUGGUCACAGAGGAAAGGUCUGAAUAGCCUCCAGGUUCCACUUUCUCUCCCUCCCUUCCUUUCACAUUUUCCUUUUGGACUCACUUGAUUACUUGUGAGGUGUACACACACUCAGGUAGAACCUUUGCCAUCUCCAGGAUACUUCAAUCAGAGAUAAUAAUAUUUCAAAACUCUUGCCCAUACUUAUGUAAACUUUGAAAGCCCUGUGUAGGAUAUGUCAGUAUCAUGAUGCCAAUUUGAUGGAUGAAGAGAAGAGCUCAGGAAGGCUACCAUGACUUGCCUAAGGUCACUUGGUGAUUUAAGUCAGAGUGGGGAUUGCAGCCAAAAUUUCCUAUCCUCCUGCUUUGUGAAGCAACACACUUGUGGAAUAUGUGGCCAUUAUGUAGUAGAUGAUAGUAGGGACUGGUACUUUUAUUCAGAAACCCAGAAUCCCAGGCAGGGUUUUAGAUGGCUUUUGGUUGAUUAAAAAACAGGGAAAAUGAUCUGAACAAUUUGUUUGCCUUUAUUUUCUAAUAUUUUGAGAGAGAUUUUGUUGUUCUACCUAAGCAGACUUUUUUCCAUCAUGAAUGAUGCUGCUCACAAUAAGACUAAAAUCUUCAUUAAGCUGAAAAAAAAAAAAAGAAUACAACAGAAUAGCUAACAUUUCACAGAAGCAGUUGUAGAGAAUACAUUAAAGUUAAUGGGUAUUAGGCUACUUAAAUUAUUUACAAGACUUAAAAAUUUUAAAUAUUUGUCUGGAAAUAUAAGCUAGUUCUUGUCCACAUUCUGAUCAAUCUUCUGGACUAUAGAGUGGUUGGCCAGGUUCUCUGGGUUUGAGCUCAGGUAAAAUGAAUGGGCUCUAGCACAGUGCCAGAUGACUAUAUGUGGAUUACAGCCUUGUCUCCUGCCGCACCCUGCACCCCUUUUCUCCUAAAAGUCACCAAUUCUAGACCAUUCUAACCUCAUUCUGGGGAUUGAGGGCCUCAUAUCUCCUGUAGGUAUUUUCCUCUACUAAUGUAACUCAGUGGAGAAGGCAAUGCUGAAGUCAAGAGAAUGAUUCUUUAGUGGUGGGGUCUCAGGCAGUGUUAUACCUAGAUUUAUAAUCCACCCUCCUGCCAGGUUGAAGGCACAUCAAGUUUGCCCUUAUCUUUUCUGUUUGAUUUGCUUUGGGAGGAAUUGUCACACCUGUCGUUCCUGUCUGUGUCAGUUAGAUGCAGCCAAGAUCACACUUUAAAAUCCUCCUGAAGAGUAAGGUAUAGAGGAAAAGGGCUUAUCUGGGGAGCAUGAGUCUAUUCUUGUUGCAUUUAUAUUAAUAAUUCAGUGUGUGGCUUUAAGGAAGUCUAAUCUUCUUUCUGGAUGCUGGUUUCUACAUCUGCAAGAUGAGUUUUGGCCCAUGGUAGAAAAGGAUUGUUGAAUUAGGUUCAUUCUGUCUAGCUCUGGUAUAGAAACACAGGACUUUAUUAAGAUGUAUUUCAAACAUACAACAUUUUAUGCUUGAGGAUAAUCAACAAACAUUGGCCAAUAGUAAAAAUUUUCCACCUUUGCUUCUGAUUUUAAAGUAAUAAAACGUUCUGCAUGAAGUUGAAGCCUACUGCAUAUCACACCUAAUCCUGUUCUCAUCUUCUUUUCCUCCUUUUCCUAUAGUAAUUACUAUUCUGAACUUUGUGUUUAACAUGACCAUACAUGGUUUCAUGCAUUUCAACAUAUGUAGGUAUCUGUAAACAAUACAGAGGAUUAUUUUAAACAUUUAAAAAUUUUAUAUAAAUGACAUAAUAUUGACAUACCAUUCUGCAACUUGCUUUUUGCUCUUCAUUAUGUUCUUGCAUGUAUUUUGAUAUUUUAUUGUAGAGCUAGUUUAUUUUAACUACUGUAAUACUUCAUUGUAUAAAUGUAUCACAAUUUAUAUAACCUUCUCUUAUUGAUACACAUUUUCAUUGUUUUUAAUUUUUCACUACUCCACAACUAAUAUUUCAAUAAACAUUCUUCUAUAAACUCAUCUUCUAGUGCAUUUAAGUGUAUGUGUAUAGUGUAUAAACCUGGAAGUGGAAAUUAAAUCAUAGGUCAUGUACAUCAUUAGCUUUACCAGAUAUGCCUAGCACUCAAAGUAGCUAAUCAUUGAAACUCUGACCAAUAGCAUAUGAGGUUUCUAGUUGCUUUACUUUAUUGCCAACACUUGACAUUGGCUUUAGAGGUUUUGUCAAUCUGAUGUAUUUAAAGGGGUUUCUUAUUGUUAUAAUUCACAUUUCCCAAAUUAUUACUGAGGUUGAGCCCAUUUUCAUAUUUUUAUUGAUCUUUAGAUUUUCUGUUCUGAAGCAAGUCUAUUUGUGUUUUCUACUAUUUUUUUCCACUGGGUUGUUUUGCAUUUUUUAUGUUGAUAUGUAUGGGCUCUUUAUAUAUUGUGGAUAUGUAUUUUACAGUAGCAUGUAUUGGAAUCUUCGCCUACUCUGUAGCUUCUCUUAAUUUCUGUGAAGUUUAUGUUUUUAAUUUAAACAAAUCAAAUUAAGUUUGAUUGAUUUAAUUGCAACAGAUUGUAUUUUCCAAAGAUAGCCAGAAUGGAAUUUCCUGUCCAACGUAUUCUUCUAAAACUUUGUUCCUCCCUCAUGUAGGGAUGGAAUCUAUGUCUCUUGCACCUAAAAUUGGGAGGGACUUUGUGACUCCCUUGACAAUAGAGUUUGGCAGAAAUAAUGUUAUAUGACCUCAAAAGCCAAGUCACAAAAAAUGCCAUUCACUUCUGCCAGGUUAUCUUGAGAUGCUUUCUCUUGGAAACCAGCUAUCAUGCUGUAAAGAAGUACAGACAGGCUGUGGGGAGGCUCAGAAGGUGAAGAACCGAGGCCCCUGGCCCACAGCCCUGGCUCUCAGUUGACAGCUAGCACCAAUUUUCCAGCCAUGUGAGUGAGCCAUCUUAAAAGUGGGUCCUUUAUUUUUCCCCAGCUUUAUUGAGGUAUAAUUGACAAAUAAAAAUUGUAUAUAUUUAAGGUAUAGAGCUGAUGUUUGAUAUAUGUGUAUGUUGUGAAAUGAUUACCGCAAUCAAGCUGUCACCCUCAAGGAGAUGUCUGUAUUCCCAUGUUCGUUGUACCAUUAUUCAUAAUAGCGAAGAUAUGGGAAAAACCUAAGCAUCCAUCGAUGGAUGAAUGGAUAAAGAAAUGUGAUACACACACACACACACACACACACAGAGGAAUAUUAUUGUCUUUUUUUUUUUUUUUAAGAUUGGCCCUGAGCUAGCAUCUGUUGCCAAUCUCUUUUUUUGUUUUUCUUUUUCUUCUCCCCAAAGCCCCCCAGUACAUAGUUGUUUAUUCUAGUUGUAGGUCCUUUAGUUCUGCUAUGUGGGAUGCUGCCUCAGCAUGCCUUGACAAGCAGUGCUAGGUCUGUGCCCAGGAUCUAAACUGGUGAAACCCUGGGCUGCAGAAGCAGAGCGCACGAAAUUAACCACUCAGCUAUGGGGCCAGCCCCUAUCCUUCAGUCUUAAGGAAGAAAAUCUUGCCAUUUGCAACGACAUGGAUGGACCUGGAGGACGUUAUGUUAAAGGAAGUAAGCCAGACACAGAAAGACAAAUGCUAUAGGAUCUCACUAUGUGGAAUCUAAAAAAGUCAGUCAUAAAAGCAGAGAAUAGAAUGGUGAUUACCAGGGCCUUGGGGGUAGUGAAAUGAUCAAAGGGUACAAAAUUUCUGUUAUGCAGGAUGAAUAAGUUCUAAUGUACAGCAUGGUGACUAUAGUUAAUAAUACUGUAUUGUACACUUGAAAUUUGCUAAGAGAAUAUAUCAUGUAUUCUCACCACACACACACUCACAGACACACAAACACAAUCAAAAGUGGGUCCUUUACCCUUGGUCAAGCAGCACCAGAUGUAGAGAAGAGAAAAGCCAUCCCCGUCAAGCCUCGCACAAAUUGCAGAUCUGUGAGCAUGAUAAGCCGUUAAAUUUGGGGAGUGGUUUGUUAAACAAUUACAAAUAACUGAUGUAAUUUGAUGUGUCAAUCUUAUUCUUUACUGUUUAUUUGUGUGUGCAUGUUGUUCUUAAAUAUAUUCUUUUCUGUAUCAAGACUAAAAAGGUAUGGAUCUUUUUAUCUAAAAGUUUUAGUUUUGCUGUUGUCUUUUUGGUUUAUCUAAGAUUGAUUGAUAAUAUGUAUUGUCAAGUGGGAUUCUUUUUUCCCCUACAGAUAAACGAUUUUUCCAACACAGUUUAUUAGCAAGUCUGUCUAUAGAUUUGAAUGCUACCUCUGUUCUGUAUACAUUUCCAUAUGCUUGUGAGUCUAUUUCUGAGUUCCUUAUACUUUCCCUCAGUUUGUCGGCUUAUUCCUAUGCCGAUAUCACAUUGUCUCAUUUGCUGCAGUUUUAGAGGCAGUCUUCACAUCUGUCAGAACAUAUUUCCCUAUUUGGUCUUUUUACUCACAAUUGUCAUGACAACUUCUGGCCUUUUGUUCUUCAAUAUAAAUUUUAAUAUUAGCUUGUCCAGUUCUAUAAAAUUCUUUGUUGUUAUUUAUAAAUUAAUUUGGAGAGAAUUGUGUAUGACUAUGCCUCCUAUGAAUUUUUUUAUUAUAAACGGCAAAAGGAUGGACAUACAGAUCUGUAAAAGAGAAUACAUAAUCCAGGGAUAUAUUCACACCUAUGUAAAAAUUACCCGUUCUAAUUGUUGCCAGUAUAAAGGAGUGCAUUUGUCCUUUAUUUCAGUAUGUUUUACAUGCAAUAAAAUACACCUAUUUUAAAUGUGCAGUUUGUUGAGUUCUGACAAAUGUAUACAUGCCUGUAACACACAUUUCAAUUAGAACAUUAUUUUCAUCUCAGAAAGUCCCCUCACAUGCUUUCUAAAUAAUUCUUUCCCAUCCAAAGACACCCACUGUUCUGUUAUCUAUCUAUAGUAAUCUCCUAAUCUUCAUGUAAAGGAAAUAAUUCAAUAUGUAUAUUUUUUGAGUCUAGUUUCUUUUGGUCAUUAUAACUUCUGUGAGACUCAUCCAUUUUGUUGCAGAUAACAAUGGAUUUUUCCAUUUAAUUACUGAGAAUUAUUGCGUGGUAUAAGUAUACCACAAUUUACCAUUCUCCUGUUGAUAGAAACCUAGGUUAUUUCCAACUUUUGACUGUUAUAAAUAAACUUACUAAUAUUCUUGUAAAAGUCUUUAUGUGGACAUGUGUUUUCAUUUCUCUUGAGGAAAUAUGUGAAAUGAAAUUUCUGGGUUAUAGGGUAGACACAUAUUUAACUUUUAAGAAACUGCCAAACUGUUUUCCAAGAUGUUUUUACUAUUUAAAUGUCCACCAGCAAUGCAUGAGGGUUUCAGUUUCUACACAUAUUCACCAACAUUUGUGUUGUUAAUCUUUUAAUUUUCACCAUUCUGGUGAGUGUGUGGUAAUAUCUAGUUAUAGUUUUAAUUUGUAUUUGUCUUAUUACUAGUCACGUUGAACAUCUUUUCAUGUGCUUAUUCACCAUUCAUGUAUCUUGUUUUGUUAAGUGUCUCUUCCAAUGUUUGCCCAUUUUUAAACUUUGAGUCGUUUGUCUUCUUGUUCUUGAAUUGUAGGAUCUUUAAAAAUAUAUUCUGGAUAUCAUUUAUUGCAAUAAUUUGCUAUUUUGUUUUUUCAAUGGUGUCUUUCAAAGAGCGGAUCUUAAACACCUGGUGAAAUCCAAGUUAUUGUUCUUUUUUUUUAUGUCUGUUACUUUGACAUGCUUUCUAAGGAAUAUUUUUUUAUUAGACUUUAUUUUUUAGACUGGUUUUAAAUUCAUAGCAAAAUUGAGAGGAAGGUACAGAGAGUUCCCCUAUACCACUCACCCCACACAUGCAUAGCUUCCUCCAUUAUCAACGUCCCCCACCAGAGUGGUACAUUUAUUACAAUUGAUGAACCUACAUUGACACAUCAUAAUCACCCAAAGUCCAUAGUUUACAUUAGUGUGCACUCUUGGUGUUACACAUUCUAUGAGUUUGGACAAUUGUAUAAUGACAUGUACCCAUCAUUGUAGUAUCACUGUAUCUAAGGAACCAUUGCCGACUCCAACAUGAUGAAUAUUUUUUCCAUAUAUUUUCUUCAGUAACUUUUAAAGUUUUAGCCUUUACAUUUAGGUCUACGACCCAUUACAAAUCAUUUAUUGUGUAUGUGGUGAGGUAAGAGUCAAGGUUCAUAUUUGUUCCAAAUGAAUAUCUAGUUUUUCCAGCACCAUUUGUUGAAAAGAUUGUCCUUUCAGAUUACAUGACCCUGGCACCUUUGGCAAAACUCAAUUGAGCGUAUAUAUUGUGAAUAUAUGUGUAGACUCUGUAUUCUAUUCUAUAGAUCUGUAUGUCCAUCCUCAUGCCCCUACCACACUAUCUUGAUUCUUGUAACUUGGUGAUGUCUUGAUAUAAGAUAGUGGCAGUCUUCCACCUUUGCUCUUCUUCUGAAAAAUUGUUUAAUUAUUCUGGCUUCUGUGUAUUUUGAUGUAAAUGUAAGAAUCAGCUUGUCAGCUUCUGAUCCCAUUCAAAAUCUGAAACCAGCUUUUUCCUGCAUUUUGUCUGGCUGUUUUUUGAUUAUAGUGAGUGAAAAUUCUGUGCUAUCCCCAGAAUGAAGGUAUGGUGGUUAAAUUUUAUGUGUCAGCUAGGCUAGACUGCGGUGCCCAGUUGUUUGGUGUGACACUAGUGUGGAUAUUACUCUGAAGGUAUUUUGUAGAUGUGAAAAACAUCUACAAUCAGUUGACUUUUAAGUAAAGGAGAUUACCCUCAAGAAUGUGGGUGGACCUUAUUCAAUUAAUGGAAGGUCUUCAAAGGAAAACUUGAAAUUUCCCAAAGAAGAAAUUCUGCCUCAAGACUAUAAUGUAGAAAUCCUGUCUGAAUUUCUACCCUCCUAAUCUGUCCUACAGUUUUCAAACUUCAGAACCCUAACUGAUACAGAAGGGUAAAAACAUUCUAGCUUUUUAGUUACUUGCAUCUCAUAGUAAAUUUUUCCAUUGACUUAAUAUAAAUGUGGCAUAAGUCUGAGAGAAGGGAAAAGAUAAGCUUUUAUAAAGGAGAAAAGUAAGAAAACUUCAUUGGAAUUCCCCAGAAAGGGCAGCUCCUUGGUAUAGGGAGCUAUGGUUAGAACAACUGUGAAAAUCCAGCUUCUCAGCAGUCUGCAUUUUACUAAGCAUUUCCACAUAACUGAUCUUGCUUUCUUUUUAUGUAUCCAUGCCAACUCUGUCAGAGGCCCUAGUGCUUGAAACCCAGAUGACUUCAGUGAACUCGUGGUUUAGUGAGAUAGUCACACACACAGUAGCAUGAAAUGAGUGCCAUAUUAGGGCUAAGUAAAGGUUGCUGUGGGAAUACUUGAGGCAUAGAUUGUCCUUUAGUUAAGCACAUGAAGUGCUAUUAGUGGUAAGAGAUAUUAAAGAAAUCAAGGAGCUGAGAAGAUGGUGGGGAGCCUCAGCUUUUCCCCUGCCAAUGGCUAAUAGGACCAGGCCUUGGAUAUGCUGCAGAGCUCUCUGAAGGAUGAGCCAUGUACCAGGGAAACCCUCUACUACCUCACUUCUCAAGUGUAGAAUAUUCUUGACUGCUAAGAGUCUUACAGUGAAAAGGUCCAAGAUAUUUAUUUCCUGGAGAAAUACCCCUUGCUUAUACGUGGACAUGCAAAAAAGCCAUGCCUACAUACAUAUAUAAAUAUUUUACAUAGCAGAACUGAUCUGCCACAACCAGGAAAUUCUACUAGAAAAAUCUCACGAUUAGGUUCUCAAUAUCAGCAUCUUCUGACAGCCCUUCCCCAUGGGUGAAUGACUAGGCUUUGGGGUCUGUAUCCCUGUGUUUUAGGGAUGUGCUGUGUGCUCUGAGGGCUAGUGCAAGCUAGCUGUGCAAGAUCUUUGAAUCAAUUUCAAACUUGCCUGUCAUCCCUGAUGUAAAGAUGAUACCCAUCCUCAAAAAGAAUUUUACAAGCAAGAAGGAGACUUUCACUGGUCCUCUAGUGGCACAGUUUCUGAAUUUCGUAUUUUUAAAUUAGUGAGAAGUGGUAAUAAGGAGCAUGAAGGAUACCUAUUACUUCCAGGCCCAGAAGUGUGGAGGAUGUGGGAAAGUAAUAGCUAAGUGAGUAAAUAAAGUAAGUAAGCAGGCAGUAGGAGAACAGGGCGCUUUCCAGGGUAAGAGAGCAAGAAGGCAUGGGGUUUUGAGAUAAGUGUACACCCAUGAAACCAUCACUGAAAUCUACUGAUCUCCAAACUCCUCAAGUUGUAUACAUUAAAUAUGUGCAGCUUUUGCAUGUCAAUCUUACCUCAUUAAAGUGGUUGAAAAACAUAAAGAGAAGACAUAGGGAACGUUCACUGAAAGGGUUGAGGAUAUCAGGGAUUUUGUUGAUGGUAGACCAUGAGUUCCAGAGGGCCGAGUGUAAGGGAGUUGACGAGUGGAAUAUGGGGUCAGAUUAGAGGAUUUAAAGAGAAGGGAGGGUGGGGAGAUUUUGACCAUUUACCUAGUUGCCCAGGCCAACUCUUGGAAACAUCCUGUCCAUCAGCAAAUAUUGUUGGUUGUAACUUUAACAUAGAUGCCAAAUCUCACUUCUUAUUACUUCCACUGCUACCAUCUUACUCUGAGCUGAUUUUUCCCCUUGGUUGGACUUCUAACUGGCCUCCCUUUUUCUACUCUUGCUUCCCUCCUUCUUAUUCUCCACACAGCAGCCAGAGUAGUUUUUUAAGAAAUAUCAGAUUAUAUCAUUCUCUUGCUCAGAAGCCUCCAGGGUAUUCUCAUCAUGUUUAGCACAAAUUCAGAUCCUUACCAAGACUUAUACAGUCUUAUGUACUUUGGCCCAUAGCCUCAUUUCCUACCAUUCUGUUCAUUUCAUACUGCCAGCAGCCAUACCAAAUGCUGCAUGUGCUCCUGUCUUGGGCCUUUGCCUUUGCUAUUCCCUCUACCUGAAAUGCUCUUUCUCCAGAUGUUCAUGUAGCUCCUUCAUUUCAGUAAUUUUGUUCAAAUGCCAUCUUACCUGAGAGGCCAUCUAUGACCACAUAGUAUAAAAUGGCACCUUCUUACCAUUCUCUCUUUAUUUUGCUUGUUCUUCAUAGCACUUAACACCAUGUAUAUUUGUCUGUAUACUGACUAUUACCCUGACUCCUCCUACCCCAUGAAAGUUCUGUGCUGAGUUUGUUUGCCACUGAAUUCUCCUG